UCUCGAAUUCUAAAGCUGUACCAUAAUUUCUAGUUUCACUUCUCCUCUCUUCCCCGCCUCCCCCAGUCUCCUAUCCAAUUUGCAGGACCACGUGUGCGGUUCUGCAUCCCACAGUCUCUUCUCGAGUUUCUUAUACAGUUUUUGUUUUUUUCCUCUCAAGUAGUCAGGGAAAAAAAAAUGCCGAGGGGGAAAAAGGCCUGAAAUCGAAUUGCAGAUCCACCAGGCAGAGCUAUAGGUCGCGCCUGCACACAGUACCAGCUCCCAGAGUCUCCCAGGACUUCUAGGAGACUGCCUCAAAAUACACCAGCGUCCUAGGCUUGAGAAACGAGAUAAGCCUUGCUAGAUUUCCGUAGAGUGAAGGUGAAAUCGACGAGAGAAAACCCUUCUACCUGAGAAAUCUGGUCAAGAAUCCUAGUGUUGCAUUCCUCACUUGGUCUCCUAAGCUGACAGUGAAUGAAGAUAAAAGUGGUGACCCUACACCCAGGCAGGACUGUAAAUCCACGCUGUUUGCCUGUGACUGAUUUGGGAUUUGGAUUUCUGAUCUGGCUGAGUGAUGUGUAAAAACCUCAAGUAGUCAACAGCUCCCUAUUGGCUAUGCAUCUGAGGGGCUCAAGAGCAUUGUUUAUUCCAGCAAGUGUCUGGAAUACAUUAUACUGGAUGAAUUGGCUCCUGCUACUCCCGUUUUGGAGAAUAUGAAGAAUUUUAUACUGUGCUAAAAUAAAUGUACUUUGUGCAAAUAACUUUCCUAAAUAAAAAAUUUUGAAUAUGA